ACAGGGUCCUGACCAAAGGAUGUUCCUAGACUCAGCCUCAGGUGCCCUCCCUGGUCCCCAUGGGUGUCUCCUGGCCAUGAGAGUUGCCCCAACGUGUUUGCAGAGGGUCAGGAGAUCCUGCUGCUCCUGCCCACGCUGGAGGCAGCAAUGUCCGUGAGGUUCCUGUGGGUGCGAACGCGACUGGUCAUGUUGCCGGGGCCAUGCGCUGUCUGCGGCGGGCUGUAGAGCCAGUUCUGCUCCGAAAGUGGGACUGGGGAGGAGACCGCAACACUCAAAUACCCAGAACCGCGGGCAGCRAGGCACCGAGGAGGCCACCUGCCCUCUCCCGCUCCAGGUGUGACGGUCUCGUGCCCGGGAGCCGGCGGCUGCUGCGAAAUGUCGACGAUCCUGAAAUGGUUUGGACGGGAAGAUAAAGACAACAGAGAGAGGGGAAAGGACAAGGAGGAGGAGAAAGAAAAAGAGGAGAAAGAAAAAGAGGAGGACAAGAAGAAAAGGAAGAAGAAGAAGCAGGAAAAGGGAGACAGGGAGGCGGCGGGCAGGAGCAGCAGCAGCUCCGGCAGCGAUUCGGAGGAGGACCGUGGCAGYGACAAGGAGGAUGAGAAGGAAGAUGAAGAUUAG
rnacentral:lncRNA from 1 species